GGGACGCACCUUGCGCUCUUGGUAUUCCGAGGGAGCAUGCCUGUUUGAGUGUCAUUAAUAUACAUAUAUCAAGCCUUCUCUUGUAGAAGGGUUUGGAUGUGGGGGUUUGCUGGCCUCUUAAUCUUUAAGAGUUCAGCUCUCCUGAAAUGCAUUAGCAGAACAACCUUAUGUUCAUUGGUGUGAUAACUAUCUACGCUAUUGAAUGUUGAGGGGGAAGUUCAGCUUCUAACGGUCCCUUGGACAACUCAUCAUUAAUGUGACCUCAAAUCAGGUAGGACUACCCGCUGAACUUAAGCAUAUCAAUAAGCGGAGG
rnacentral:rRNA from 1 species